GGUACUGAGUGGGAAUGAUUAGAAUAAAAUUGAGGACUCUAGCAGCGGACUUAGAAUGGUAUCAGCGGGUUCUCAUCCUACAACCUGACUUUGGAAGUUGGAGAUAAGGGGUGUCUAGGGGUUGGGUCAGACUCCAGUUUUGGAGUCUGACUCACAGUUGGGCGGAGCCAAGGCCCCCUGAGGCUGAGCCAGAACCUCUGAGAGUGAACCUGGAGACUCAGAGGGCAGCUGGCAGGGCUCACAGUGUGGGGUCCCACCCUGCAGAGGCUGGGUCAGGCCCUCAAGGGCUGGGUUGCUGGCUUCAAGAGGCUGGGCCAGGAUGUCAAGGGGCGGAGUUCCGGGUUCCACAGCUGGGACAGUGUUGCCCAGAGCUGAUUCCUGGGACUUGCAGAAACGUGCGAAGCUGCUCCUGCCGCACGUCCACCAGGUACCUGCAGAUGGGAAGCGCCCUGUCAGGGACCCAGAUUUUGAUCCCCAGCCAGGAUGUUCCCCACCCUCCACCCCACUGACUCACCGGGCUAAUUCCACAAUCAAGUUCCCUCCGGGUGCCACACAGGCCCCAAGCUCAGGGAUGAGAAGAUGGACCAUACUGCAGAGAGGACGGAGGACAGGCUGAGAUUCAGCUCCAAAUCCGGAGGGAGGAUGGGGCUCUGGGAUCCCAGACAAUGAGGGAGGAGGGGUGGCAAAACUGGAGUCUGGGUCCUGGGGAAAGAAGGGAGCAGGAGGUCUGGACUCCUGGGUCUGAGGGAGGAGGGGCUGGGGGCCUGGACCCCUGGGUCUAAGCAAGGAGGGGCUGGGGGCCUGGACUCCUGGGUCUGAGGGAGGAGGGGCUGGGGGCCUGAUCCUGGGUCUUUGUGAGCACAGCUGCCUCCCCGCUUACCCACAGGCCACAUAGAGGAGCUGGAAUCGGCCGUUGUAGCAGCUCUUGUGGUGGAGAGUCUGAGCAGAAUUGAGCGGCAGGAAGUGGACGGAGGCUCUCGUCGUCCGCUUCGAUGCCGAAGGCCACGAAGGGCCCCGUGGCGAUGUCCCCCCAGUACCCGCGCGCUGCCACGCGCUCCCCACGCUGGAAAAGGAGGGAGAGAGGAGGCAGGUAAUCUAGAGAUGAUUUGCGGUGUAUGGGACCAUGUGUACAGGCUAUUUGGCUAGGCUGAAGAUCAGCAUGUGUCGGGCCACAGCUUCCAGAUUAUUCUCCAGCACAAAGAACUAGAAGGAUGGACAGGGCAGAAUAAUUCUGAGACCUGUUUGCCUGGGUCCUAGGAGACCCAGGAGAGCAGGCCCUCAGCUCUCUCCUUCCACACACCCGAGUUCUGUACACCAGCCUCUUCCUUCAAACACAGAAGUCUGUGUCCCCAGAGCUCUCUUCCCUUCCAUUACUCAGAAGACCUCAUCCUCGAGCUCUUCCCCACUAUAGAACCCAGGAGUUCCAAACCCCAGCCCCUUCCUUCCCCCAAGACGCAUCGGUUCGCUCCCAGCUUCUGCCUCCCUCAGAUCUAGGAGUCUCCAGCCCCUUCAUUCCUGGACCUGAGGUUUUAGAAUUUCAAUCCCUUCCUCCCUCAAGGACUCGGGAAUCUGGGCUCUCAUCUUCAUCCCAGCUCACGUUGAACCUCCUGCGAGGCCAGAACUUCGCUCGGGACAGGGUCCGCAGCAGGUGCCGUCCAUCCACAGAGCCCAGAAGCAGCACAUCUAGCUCGGGGUUGCUGUGCACUGUAUCGGCCUGGGAGUCUGGGUCCACAGGAGGACCUGGCAAGAUGACAGCUGGCUGGGGCACCAUGGUGGUUGGCAGAGCGUCCACCGUAGCAUCCCCUAUAAAAAAUGGACUACAAAUCCCAG
rnacentral:lncRNA from 1 species